rnacentral:tRNA from 2 species
AAAAUCCGUUGAUUUUUUCGAUCGUGAGGGUUCAAGUCCCUCUAUCCCCA